GACGAACGCUGGCGGCGCGCUUAACACAUGCAAGUCGAGCGAGAACCAAGCCUUCGGGCUUGGGGACAGCGGCGAACGGGUGAGUAACACGUGAGUAAUCCACCCUUGGUACCGGGAUAGCUCGGGGAAACUCGAAUUAAUACCGGAUAGCCCAUUAGCCUUUCGAGGCGAAUGGAAAAGGUAGCUUCGGCCUCCGACCAAGGACGAGCUCGCGGCGGAUUAGCUUGUUGGCGGGGUAAUGGCCCACCAAGGCGACGAUCCGUAGCUGGUCUGAGAGGACGAUCAGCCACACUGGGACUGAGACACGGCUCAGACUCCUACGGGAGGCAGCAGUGGGGAAUCUUGCGCAAUGGGCGAAAGCCUGACGCAGCGACGCCGCGUGAGGGAAGAAGGCCU
rnacentral:rRNA from 1 species